GCCCUACUUCCGGGACUUGGCCUGGCAUGCUAGUUGGUUGCUAUGGAAACGAAGAAGCGGAGAAGCUCCUGGUGGGGCGUUGACAACUUGCGCGGCUUUCGUUGCUGCUGCCCGCGGUGUUUUGCUAGCUGAGCUUGGGGGUUUUGUGACAGUCUUCUGAUAAUUCUUUAAAAAAAUAUAGAAAGAAAUGGAUCGACAUAUACCUGUGUAUCCUUUGCCAGAAGAAAUAAGAAAGAUGUCCCGAGAUGAAACAAUAUGUAAAUAUUGUGGAGUCAGUUAUUUGGUCCUUCAUGAAUUUAAGCUACUGGAUGAGAAAGUAAAAGCAAUGGAAAAGAAGAUGAAGUUUUAUGAGGGCAGUGUGGAACGGGAGAAAAUACUGCAAGAAAAACUACAGUGUCUAAGUCAAGAUUUUGAACAAUGCACAGCAGCUAGUGAAUCAAAAACAGAAAGAAUAAAAGAAUUAGUUACAGAACUUGAAAAUAAGGAAACUGCAAUAGAGAAUCUAAACAAACAGUCGAGAAGCUUUCACAAAGAAAAGGAAGAUAUAUGGAGACAGUCACAACUAGUUCAGAAAACAUUGCAACAACAUAAAUUUAUCCUAAAGAAAGCCUUUAAUCUUAUUCCCUUUAUCAGGGAAGAAUUAAACAAGUUUAAAGAAGAAGUACUUGGUUUUCUCAAAGAAUGGAUUUCACUAAAAGGAGAGAUAUUUUUACAACUAAAAACCAUUAAUAAAAUAGGACUGGCAGAAGUAUCCAGUUUGAACCAAACCUUAGGUGAGUGUCAGAGGAAAAAUCUAGUACUUCAGGAAGAGGUGGAACACCUAAGAGUGAAGUCAAAUGCAGCUGCACUGGAAGCUAAGCAACUUCAGGCUUCUCUUUUACGGGAGAAUGAAUUACAAAAUAAAUGUAAGGAAUUACAAAAGAAAACGCAAGAAAUAACAGAUGAAAUACAGGCAACUGAACUCAAGUUCCAGAAAGCUGCCGGUGAAAUUACAUAUUUUAAAGAAUUAGUCAUAAAGAAAUCAAAAGAAUGUGAAGACCAUCAGAGGGAAUUUCAAAAGUUGUCAUCUGAAAUUGGAAUAGCUAAAUCUCGGUUUACUCAUAUAGUGACAGAAAAAGAACAAUCUUUACUUGCCUGCCAACAAAUGUAUCAAUGUUUACAGGAAGAAACAAUUGCGAAAGAAAAAAGAGAAGAUAAUUUUAAAAAAAGAACAAAGAUUUUGGAAAGUGAAUUGGAAACAAUCAACAACCUUCUGAAACAGCAAGAGGAAGAAAUAGUCAUCCUUAAGCAAGAAAGGGAGUCAGUACUGGUUUCCCAUAAGAAGAUAACAGAACAGAUGCAGGAGACAUUAAGACAGAAAGUGCUAAAUGAAAAGAAUUGGCAAGAAAAGGUUGAAACUGAUAGAGUGAAAGAGCACACCAGUCACAAAGAAGAGAUUGCUAGACUGAAAGAAGAAGCCAGAAUAGAACUAGAUAUUGAGAAACAAAAGCAUCAGGAAUUAAUUGCAAAAUAUCAGAAAGAUCAGUAUGAGCUGCUACAUACAAAGAUACCUCUAUUGAUAUGUAAUGCUACUAAUAAACUGAAGGUUGAAAUGGAGACACUUGAAAAGAAACUCCAUGAAGCAGAGAGGAGGGUUAAUGAGAAAGAUCACGAGGGGGAAAAAGAAUGGCAAAGCCUCAAAAGACAAAUAACUGAGCUUGAGUUCCAGCUGAAGGAAGAACAGAGCAUUCAUAAUUCAGUGACAGAAGAGAUGAAAGAAGAAAUUAAAAAGAAGACCUGUGAACUGGAAAAACUAACUGAGGAACAAAAACAAUUGAUUCAGACAAUGAAUCAAGUUCAAGAGGAGAAUGCCCUUCUCCAGGACACUGUACGCAGGGAGUGUGAGGAACGCUAUGAGCUUACUGAGGCUUUGGUUCAAGCUAAAGAACAAGUCAUGGAACUAAAAAAACUUGGUGGAAACUUUCCCUUGACACAGUGUUCCCUCGGUCAGGGCACUUCAACUUCCUGCUCCACUUUGAUCAAUAGUCAAAGGUGCUCAAAAGCUUCAAAAAGGAUAACAUCUGAGAUUUCAAGAACCACUAAAGCAGUAGUGUGUGGUAGGAACCAAAACAGCUUCAGUGUUAGCUUGCCUGCUCUACCUACAUUGCAGUCACCUCAAAGGAGAACGUCUCUCGAUGAAUCCAGGAGAAGAAUCACAGCAGUUAUAAAAAGACAAAUGAGUCAACUAUGAUGAGAAAAGAAUUGCUACAUUAUCUAAGUUUCUUAAAGUGAUCCUUCAGGAGGGUUUCAUCUCUUUAUAUAGCAAUAAUGAACAGUAAUCACCAAUAAGAGUUUCUCCACAUCAGGGGCGACAGACUGUAGACCGGAUACAUCAUGCGUAGGCCAUGCCCAUCCCAGCUCUUCAAAAGCAAAAAAUAUUGUGAUGUCACGAUACGUCAUGUGACGUAAUCAAGUUUGACACCCAUGCUCUACAUGAAUUACUUUGACCCUACAUCUACCUCCUUUGAAAGCUGUCCAAUAAGGGAACCAGAAGGACUGGGAAUGGAAUCUAACAAGCUGAUAAUGAUACAUGUGAAAAGAUUCUGCUAAAGACCAAGAAGCAGAAGCAAACAAAAUGUCAGAACAAAUGAUGGAAAUUGCCAAGAAAAAGAGAGAAUGCAAAGACAAGAAAAACAAGAACUUCAGAAAGGAACUUCUCAAAGUAUUUCAGUGUCCGGGGCUCAUGUGAUCACUUUUUGUGACCUGACGAGCAAAGUCAAUGGAGAAGCCAGUUUCACUUAACAACUGUUGUCACUAACUUAACAACUGCAGUGAAUCACUCAAAAACUAUGGCAAAUGUCUCACUUAGAGACAUAUAUUUUGGGCUCAAUUGUGGUUGUAACUUGAGGACUAUCUGUACUGGCUUACUCAUUCCUAAUAAUCAGCACUCCAUGAACAGUUUUCACUUUUUCAAAGUAUGAUAUGAAGUAUGACUCAAGAACUGGAUUUAUUUAUUUUAAAUUAUAUCAGACUGGAUUUAUUUAUUUUAAAUUAUAAAUUGUAUCUCGGGUUUCCGAUUCAAAAAGCACAUUUACUAAAACAAAACAAAAUAUAUGCCUACAUAAUACGUCAAGUCUCCCUCAAACUGAGUUCUGCUCCUGGUGACUAGCUGGACAGAACGCAUAAAUAAAAUAUCCAUAGACUAAAAAUAUACGUAGAAAUAAUGUUUCCAACAACGAAAAUAUUGAUGAAAGUAUAAAAACAUAACAUCUUUUAACUUUUCUAAAUUCUCUUUUUGGACUCCAGGAAACAUAGUAAAUAGAACAAGAAUGUGAUUUAUUAUUUGCAAAAAAACCCCAUAUUUUGUUCAGAACAAUGAAAGGAAAUCAAGUCCGAUAAUUUUGAAAGAAAGCUCUAAUUUUAUUAAUAUCGUAUUUAAUACUGAAGCAAAUAUUUCAUUUAGUUAGGGAGCCCUUCAACUUUUAUAAUGUUACCACAAUAUUAAUAUAACAUGACAUUUUUUUCUACUGAGGCCUUCUGAGUCAGCUCUCACCUUGUUCCCUACCUCUGCCUUACCACCAGCAAGCUGGAAUCAAAAUACUAAUCUGAAUAUAUGUUGGAUCAUGAUUUUGAAAAGCAAAAUAGACAGAAGUACUACAAAGAGAAAAAAAUAUUCAUGUUUUCUUGCCAGCAUCAUCUUGUGGCUCUGGAGGAAUUACUAUUCCCCAACGAUAUUGACAACCUCUGGCAAGGCGAUGGGGCAAUCAGCCUAAAUCAAUUCCACUUAUUUAUUUUUGUCCAUUUGCAUGUAUGAAAAUGUGUCAGUGACUACUAGAAAAGAAAAAAAAUUAGAAGAAAUAUAAUGGAGUAAGUGAUAAUAUUGUAAACCUACUGAAGCCAUUUGAUUUUAAAAUUUGUGCUCUGGAAAAUAUACUCUGAUUACCAUCUGCUUCUUGUUACAUUUAUUCUCACAGUUUGUCAAAUAAUUGAUAAAUAAAAAGUAUUUUGAGAGGCCA